rnacentral:rRNA from 1 species
UACGAAGGGGGCUAGCGUUGCUCGGAAUCACUGGGCGUAAAGGGUGCGUAGGCGGGUCUUUAAGUCCGGGGUGAAAUCCUGGAGCUCAACUCCAGAACUGCCUUUGAUACUGAGGAUCUUGAGUUCGGGAGAGGUGAGUGGAACUGCGAGUGUAGAGGUGAAAUUCGUAGAUAUUCGCAAGAACACCAGUGGCGAAGGCGGCUCACUGGCCCGAUGCUGACGCUGAGGCACGAAAGCGUGGGGAGCAAACAGG